rnacentral:rRNA from 1 species
AAAACGACUCUCGGCAACGGAUAUCUCGGCUCUCGCAUCGAUGAAGAACGUAGCGAAAUGCGAUACUUGGUGUGAAUUGCAGAAUCCCGUGAACCAUCGAGUCUUUGAACGCAAGUUUCGCCCGAAGCCAUUAGGCCGAGGGCACGCCUGCCUGGGCGUCACAC